rnacentral:rRNA from 1 species
AUAAACUAUGCCGACUAGGGAUCGGGCGAUGUUACUAUCUUGACUCGCUCGGCACCUUACGAGAAAUCAAAGUCUUUGGGUUCUGGGGGGGAGUAUGGUCGCAAGGCUGAAACUUAAAGAAAUUGACGGAAGGGCACCACCAGGAGUGGAGCCUGCGGCUUAAUUUGACUCAACACGGGGAAACUCACCAGGUUCAGAUAUUAGUAGGAUUGACAGAUUGAGAGCUCUUUCUUGAUUUAAUAGUUGGUGGUGCAUGGCCGUUCUUAGUUGGUGGAGUGAUUUGUCUGCUUAAUUGCGAUAACGAACGAGACCUUAACCUGCUAAAUAGCCCGGCUCGCUUUGGCGGGUCGCCGGCUUCUUAGAGGGACUAUCGGCUCAAGCCGAUGGAAGUUUGAGGCAAUACAGGUCUGUGAUGCCCUUAGAUAUUCUGGGCCGCACGCGCGCUACACUGACAGAGUCAACGAGUUCAUUUCCGUUGGCCGGAAGGUCCGGGUAAUCUUGUUAAACUCUGUCGUGCUGGGGAUAGG